rnacentral:rRNA from 1 species
CUAAGUUCGCCNGGGUCUAGUGGCAGACGGGUGAGUAACACGUAGGUAAUGUACCCUCUUGCUGGGGAUACCCGUCCGAAAGGAUGGUUAAUACCGAAUGAGCCACGACCGGGGCAUCCUGGUGGUGGCAAACUGGCAACGGGCGAGAGGAUCAGCCUGCGGACCAUCAGCUGGUUGGUGGGGUAACGGCCUACCAAGGCGACGACGGUUAGCCGGUUUGAGAGGACGAUCGGCCACACUGGGACUGAAACACGGCCCAGACUCCUACGGGAGGCAGCAGUGGGGAAUAUUGCACAAUGGGGGAAACCCUGAUGCAGCAACGCCGCGUGAGUGAAGAAGUAUUUCGGUAUGUAAAGCUCUAUCAGCAGGGAAGAAAAUGACGGUACCUGACUAAGAAGCACCGGCUAAAUACGUGCCAGCAGCCGCGGUAAUACGUAUGGUGCAAGCGUUAUCCGGAUUUACUGGGUGUAAAGGGAGCGCAGGCGGUCUGGCAAGUCUGAUGUGAAAAUCCUGGGCUCAACUCCGGAACUGCAUUGGAAACUGUCAGACUAGAGUGUCGGAGAGGUAAGUGGAAUUCCUAGUGUAGCGGUGAAAUGCGUAGAUAUUAGGAGGAACACCAGUGGCGAAGGCGGCUUACUGGACGAUAACUGACGCUGAGGCUCGAAAGCAUGGGGAGCGAACGGGAUUAGAAACCCCGGUAGUCCAUGCCGUAAACGAUGCUGACUAGGUGUGGCGGGUCUGAACUCCCGCCGUGCCGGAGCCAGCGUGGUAAGUCAGCCACCUGGGGACUACGGCCGCAAGGUUAAAACUCAAAGGAAUUGACGGGGGCCCGCACAAGCAGCGGAGCGUGUGGUUUAAUUCGAGGCUACACGAAGAACCUUACCUGGGCUUGACAUGGCGGUGGUAGGGAACCGAAAGGGGACCGACCUUCGGGAGCCGUCACAGGUGCUGCAUGGCUGUUGUCAGCUCGUGUCGUGAGAUGUUCGGUUAAGUCCGGUAACGAGCGCAACCCUCGUCGCCAGUUACACGUUGUCUGGCGAGACUGCCCGUAGAAAGCGGGAGGAAGGUGGGGAUGACGUCAAGUCAGCAUGGCCUGGAUGUCCAGGGCGACACACACGCUACAAUGGCCGGUACAAUGGGGAGCCAACCCGCGAGGGGGAGCCAAUCCGUCAAAGCCGGUCUCAGUUCGGAUUGCAGGCUGCAACCCGCCUGCAUGAAGUCGGAG